AACCCUCUUGCAACAUCUAAUGCUAUUUGAAUAACAAAAUUCAAUGGCAAUUUUUUGAUAUGAUUUUUUAAGAGAUGAGAUCUGAGAGUGCCUCCAGGGACAUAUUCAACCACGAUAUCAUAUUCGAAUGAUCGUUGUUUUUUCAAUGAACGAUUUCUCAACCACGGAAUGCGAUUGGAUUUUGAAGUCAAUGUAGGGUAUAUGACAAAACAUAAACAAGUUCAAGUUGAACAAUCUCUUGAAUAGAGAUUCAAGAAAAAAAAUGACCCAACGACAAUUCAGAAAGUCAUCAACAACACCAAAUCUAGCGGCAUUAAGAUUGUUGAAGGUUGAAGCAAGAGAAAA